GAAAUGCGAUAAGUAAUGUGAAUUGCAGAAUUCAGUGAAUCAUCGAAUCUUUGAACGCACAUUGCGCCCCCCUGGUAUUCCGGGGGGCAUGCCUGUUCGAGCGUCAUUUCACCACUCAAGCCUCGCUUGGUAUUGGGCGACGCGGUCCGCCGCGCGCCUCAAAUCGACCGGCUGGGUCUUCCGUCCCCUCAGCGUUGUGGAAACUAUUCGCUAAAGGGUGCCGCGGGAGGUCACGCCGCAAAACAACCCCAUUUCUAAGGUUGACCUCGGAUCAGGUAGGGAUACCCGCUGAACUUAAGC
rnacentral:misc_RNA from 1 species